GGUCCUACCACGUCUUGGAAUUAAGAAACCAGAUCCAUUAUACCAAAGAUAUACAAAUAAGAAACAAGACCUCAAGUCCAGCUUCCUUCAGUUUUUUUUUCUUGUGCAUAUUAGAUACUGUGAUGUCAGUGUAGUUGCAUCCAGUUUUCUCACAACUUCUAUAGCCAAAGUCUGCCAUCCACAUCCAAUCUCUAGAACCUCAUGGUUCUUCUCUACUUUCAACUGAAG
rnacentral:lncRNA from 1 species